rnacentral:rRNA from 1 species
GCCGGCAGCUAGCUCUCUGCAACUCUCACAUGGUCACUCACUGAAGCUAAGCAAGGCUGCGCCCGGUUAGUACCUGGAUGGGAGACCACAUGGGAAAGCUAGGUUGCUGCCUGAA